UACGAAGGGGGCUAGCGUUGCUCGGAAUCACUGGGCGUAAAGCGCACGUAGGCGGCUUUUUAAGUCAGGGGUGAAAUCCUGGAGCUCAACUCCAGAACUGCCUUUGAUACUGAGAGCUUGAGUCCGGGAGAGGUGAGUGGAACUGCGAGUGUAGAGGUGAAAUUCGUAGAUAUUGCAAGAACACCAGUGGCGAAGGCGGCUCACUGGCCCGUACUGACGCUGACGGUGCGAAA
rnacentral:rRNA from 1 species